UACGGAGGGUGCAAGCGUUAAUCGGAAUUACUGGGCGUAAAGGGUGCGUAGGCGGUUGUUUAAGUCUGUUGUGAAAUCCCCGGGCUCAACCUGGGAAUGGCAAUGGAUACUGGGCAGCUAGAGUGUGUCAGAGGAUGGUGGAAUUCCCGGUGUAGCGGUGAAAUGCGUAGAGAUCGGGAGGAACAUCAGUGGCGAAGGCGGCCAUCUGGGACAACACUGACGCUGAGGUGCGAAAGCGUGGGGAGCAAACAGG
rnacentral:rRNA from 1 species